UACGUAGGGGGGCGAGCGUUUGUCCGGAUUUAUUGGGCGUAAAGAGCUCGUAGGCGGUUGGCAAGUCGGGUGUGAAAACUCCGGCUCAACUCGGAGACGCCACUCGAUACUGCCAUGACUCGAGUCCGGUAGGGGAGUGCGGAAUUCCUGGUGUAGCGGUGAAAUGCGCAGAUAUCAGGAGGAACACCGGUGGCGAAGGCGGCACUCUGGGCCGGUACUGACGCUGAGGAGCGAAAGCGUGGGGAGCGAACAGG
rnacentral:rRNA from 1 species